GCUGGAUUUAAGCAUAAACAUCUUUUUGGCAUUCAGUGCACAGUAGAGUAUUGUACACAUAUCUUUCUGGAAUGAGGCAGAUAUCACCACUGUUCGAUUAAGAUCUGCCCACUUAGAUGAUCAUAAACCUGAG